rnacentral:snoRNA from 1 species
GGCACUUGUCUGUGUUUCUGUCUUAGCUUGUGCACUAAGACUUAAUGGACAGGUGCAAAAUUAAAAAAAUCCUCUUCUGCAACCCAGAACUCAUUGUUCACUAUGAGUUUUGAUACAUAUAAGAAGGAAUAUU